rnacentral:rRNA from 1 species
GACGAACGCUGGCGGCGUGCUUAACACAUGCAAGUCGAACGGAAAGGCCCUGCUUUUGUGGGGUGCUCGAGUGGCGAACGGGUGAGUAACACGUGAGUAACCUGCCCUUGACUUUGGGAUAACUUCAGGAAACUGGGGCUAAUACCGGAUAGGAGCUCCUGCUGCAUGGUGGGGGUUGGAAAGUUUCGGCGGUUGGGGAUGGACUCGCGGCUUAUCAGCUUGUUGGUGGGGUAGUGGCUUACCAAGGCUUUGACGGGUAGCCGGCCUGAGAGGGUGACCGGCCACAUUGGGACUGAGAUACGGCCCAGACUCCUACGGGGGGCAGCAGUGGGGAAUAUUGCACAGUGGGCGGAAGCCUGAUGCAGCAACGCCGCGUGCGGGAUGACGGCCUUCGGGUUGUAAACCGCUUUCGCCUGUGACGAAGCGUGAGUGACGGUAAUGGGUAAAGAAGCACCGGCUAACUACGUG